ensembl:lncRNA BCAR3-AS1 BCAR3 antisense RNA 1
CGGUUACUGACUCUGUGGCUGCUGCCUCCCACAACGCUGUGCUUGCAGACCCCAGGAGCGCUGGCUGUCCCUUCACUUCCUGAACAUGUGGAUGUGUGCUUUGGGUUCUUGACCUCAGCUCUUCCCAAGGUCUUCUUAGAGAAGGGUCUAAAUGAAGUCAUUUUUAGAGUAUUUGUUUUUGGUUACACAGGUGCUUCCGCCCAUGUGGCCUCGGAGUGGGACCCUGCGGGUCAUCAAUCUGUACAUUGCCUGAGAGCAGCCGUGUAUGCUCUGGAAGGGACAAGACCAGGUACCUGUCGGGGGAUGCGGCCGUGGUACCAGGCAUGGCUGCGCAGGUCCUCGCUGCUCAGGAGCAGCUCCUCCUCCAGCUCCUUCUUCAGUUUCUCGGGGGUCCUGUCCAUGAUGUGCCUCUCCUUGGAGAACUGCAACACAGAGUCAACCAUGAGCUCACCCUGCCCAGGCCACACCAGGCCAUGCCAGCUGGAGGUGACCGCCUGCUUCACUAAUCCAACCAGUUAUGCUACAGCCUGCAUUCAGGGAGAUGUGGCCACAGGACUCAGUUCUGACCAAGGAGCUGAGAUGUGAUGGCUGGAGACUCAACACCAUUCUGGACGUUCCUCCUCUAGCUCACCAGGGACCUGGGGGCGGGCCUGCCAGCGGCCACUCCCUGUGCUCCCCUUCCAGGCUGAUGCCUCCCUGCCUGCCCACACCGGGGUACUCCACGUCUCUACACUUUGUGCGUGCUCCUCUCUCCACGAAGAAGGCCAAUUCUCCUCCUUCUCUGGAUAACUUCGACUAAUUCACCAGACUCAGCAAAGGCUCUGCCUCCCUGCAGGAGGCCAUCCCUGAUCCUCGCCACUCCUGCCCCAUCUAUGCCAGGCAUGUGCCUCCAGGGAGCCACAGCACCCUCUAAAGAGAGCAACACCAAAUCAGUGAUAACCGAUCGUUUCCUUCAACCAGAGUUAAAUGUCUGCAGAAUGCCCACCAGGCAUGGUAUUACAGCAGAGAUCCCCACUGGACCAACAACUCCCACUGGGUCCCCAGCACCGACACAUCCGAGGUACCACAACCGGUGACUGCUGAGCUGAACUAAGGAUGCAAUGGGAUGAAAGCCAAUGGGGAAAUGUGCCUCAAAUACUUAUUAACCCCUGGUACAGGAGGCCUGGCUGCUGGGAUUAUUCCUAGAUCCUCUGUGACUUCUCUGACCAUGUCACACACUAACCUUCCCAGUGAACCUUCUGCUCUGAGCAGGCCUGGCCUUCUGCACUCCUGCAAAUGCCAGUGGCUUUUCUAUCUCUGAGCUACUGGGUCUGCUGCUCCCCCAGGCUGAAAUGCCGUCCCUAUGCCAUUCUUUUCUUUGUCCAUCCAAAUCCCCAGUUAUUAAAAAAAGGAGAAAAAUUUAAAAGGGGUUACCUGUUCUUAAAAACAAACAAACAACAACAUCAAAAACAAAAACAGUCCCACAUCCUCCCUGAAGCUUUCCUAAAAACUAAGGCUCACACUGUUCUCUCCCAACUGAACUGCAAAAUAAAGUAUUAACAUACACAA